CGGAAGUGUGGGUAAAACUGUAAAUUACUAACUUUGUAAGACCAGGGAAAACAAAAUAGUCCUAAUGAGACACAAUGUCAUUUCAGAAGGUCCUAGCAUGGUUCAGCAAAUAGAAUGUUUUACCACCGCUGAUGCAUAUCAGACUUCCUUUCACCGUGGCGGAGAAGGGCCCUAUGAGCUGCCUGUGCUGGUGUUGGCCAAGGCUGGCUUUCCUGUGCCCAGCAGCCUCAUGCCUGCGGCCUGCACCUUCAGCCCUGUGAGCAUAAGGCUGGGCAAUGGCCAGCAGCCCGGGUGCUUGGUGUGUGACCUCAUAGUAGGGAAGGGAGCAGGCCAUGCCUCAGUGAGGAUGACACCAAAGCACAGGUUUGUCAAACAGCUCAUCUCCUGCAGAAUGUUGGGCCAAAACCUGUGA
rnacentral:lncRNA from 1 species